GUGGGAGAGGUGGCUAUGGAGGAGAAAGAGGAUAUCGAGGGCGCGGUGGCAGAGGCGGUGAUAGGGGAGGUGGCUAUGGUGGUAAAAUGGGGGGAAGAAAUGAUUUCAGAAAUGAUCAACGCAACAGACCAUACUGAAGACCACUGUGAAUGUUUUGUUUGUCUUCUUGAUGCGUUUGAUAGUGAAAUUGCCAGAGUUUUGCCUGCAGCUUCACCCAUGGCCUCUUUGGAUAGUGGAAUUGAGUGAAACUAGAUUUUUAUUUUGGUGGGAGGGACUGGGGCAGUUUGGGAGGAUUUUUUUUAAGCAAGACAUUGAAAUUUAAUCUUGAUUUCAGCGUUCUUCUCUUUUCUUCCCCCUCCAUACCUUUUCAACAGGCCCUAAGAAGAAAAAAGGAUAAACUGUAAAAUAUUGCCAAAAUAUGAAGUGUUUUGUAAUACAACAAUAAAUGCUGAUUGUUUUAUUUGUGAAA